GCGGGGCGUCCACACCGACGCGGGGAAGAUGGGCCCGAAGGGACUCUCGCCCGCGGCCCGGCCUCCCAGCGCCUCCGUUGUUCCCCGGCGCCUGCCUUUCGGCGGCUCGCAGAUGCCUCCGGUCCCCACGGUGCCUCCGAAAAGAAGGUUAUGAGGUUGACGUGAGGGAACGAUAAAAAGCAUAUUCCCGCCUCCCCCAGCUUGCCAGCGGGGUGUGUGCAAGAACCAAGGGAGAGGCAAUAGAACUGUUGAAAGGGAGGACUGAAGACCUUUCAAAUGAAGGGAGAGCAAGAAAAUUAGGGGAAAUAGUUUCCUACAGAAGCUCUUGGGAGCCCUCGCCGGAUUGGCCCAGUGGAUAGAGC